AAAAUUCACAUAAAUUGUGAGGUUAAAUGAUAACGGAAAGGAAGUGAGGGUAAAAAAGAAAUACAAAUCUUUGCCUUACUGCCUUGCUCCUCUUCAGCCUGUUAGCAUCAGUCAUGGCCAAAUCACUGUCUUUUGGGUUGCACAGUCCCAGGUAUACAAGUUGCUGAGCAACAGUGACACUACUAUGAAGAGCAAGCUGUCCUGUCCAAAUGUAGUUAACAUGCUGUACAGCUACCAAUGGUUUUACCAAAAAUUAUGUCAGUAACUUAAAAGUGUUUGGUUUUAUUUUUCAGUUAUCUAAUCACAAGUAUUGCAAGUGUGGGUUGUCCACCAGUUUGCAUCUUCUGUAGCCAACCGUUUUAUGGCAAAUUAACACGAACAUGAAUAGUCUACAGCAGACAAAAAAGCGGGAGUAGUCAUGGCCAGUCCGGGCUCAAUGGCACAGGGGUGGGUACCACAGAAGCCGAAUAACAACGCAGAUGCGGAUACCCAGGCGACAUUUCAGGAUUAUUCCCCUUCUCCCGCGACGAGCCGGCCCCAAACCACCUCCAAGGGGCAGCCAUGUUAGGGACCCGCUCCUCGCCGCAUCCCGGUGCUGGCGCUAGAGGGCAGCCUUGGACCAGCAGAUCGCGGCCUGCCCGGCCCGGCACGGCUCGGCAAGGCUCGGCACGGCCCGGCACGGCCCGGCAAGGGGUCAGGUGGAGCUCUCCAGCACGGAGCAGCCCCUGGCCUGAUGAAAGCCGUGCGCUUCGUGGGCUCGUUAAGGGAGAAGCAAAUUCCAGGUGUUCGGAGAUGGCAGAGGCAGACACUAUCAGCAAGUUUUAGAACUUCCCUGGACUUGUUAUUCCCUGCUGUUGUCUUCACAACUGAAGCUUCAGUCUGGCAAGAUCACUGAAACCUGAGCAAAGAUUUCCUCAGGACCUGCCUCCCUGUGGUAGCCAGUGUGCAUGCCCUCACAGCUGGGACAGAGCACUGGAUUCCUUGGCAGGGCGAUGGCAUUGUGUUCUGGAGUAAGCAACAUAUGAGCAAGCCGAUAAAAUCUUUUAAUCUGUUUUGACUAC